AGGGCACUUAGCAUAGGAGAACUUGCCUGAAACUGGCUGUAUCUCUGUUAUUAUGUAAGGUGAUCGCAAAAAACGCACGUUUUUUGAUAGGGCGGCUCUUCAGUGGGAAAAAAAGAGCCACCCUACCUGGUUUAGGUAAUUAGCUUCGUCUUUGACUUUCAAGCCUAGGUACCCUUGAAGGCACAGCUCAGUGGAUUUUCCAGCGAUGUCGACGCCAGUUUGCUAACACCUUACAUAAUAACAGAGAUAGAGCCAGUUUUAGGCAAGUUCUCCUAUACUAAGUGCCCUCG